rnacentral:rRNA from 1 species
UACAGAGGUCUCAAGCGUUGUUCGGAUUCAUUGGGCGUAAAGGGCGCGUAGGCGGUGCGGUAAGUCACCUGUGAAACCUCUAGGCUCAACCUAGAGCCUGCAGGCGAAACUGCCGUGCUUGAGGGUGGGAGAGGUGCGUGGAAUUCCCGGUGUAGCGGUGAAAUGCGUAGAGAUCGGGAGGAAGGCCGGUGGCGAAGGCGGCGCUCUGGAACGUUUCUGACGCUGAGGCUCGAAAGCGUGGGGAGCAAACAGG